rnacentral:rRNA from 1 species
UUCCGGUUGAUCCUGCCAGAGGCUACUGCUAUCGGGGUUCGAUUAAGCCAUGCGAGUUAAAUGUUCUUCGUGAACAUAGCGAACUGCUCAGUAACACGUGGAUAACCUACCCUUAGGACCGGAAUAACCCCGGGAAACUGGGGAUAAUACCGGAUAAGCCAUAGGCGCUGGAAUGCCCUAUGGUUCAAAGCUCCGGCGCCUAAGGAUGGAUCUGCGGUCUAUCAGGUUGUAGUGGGUGUAACGUACCUACUAGCCAACGACGGGUACGGGUUGUGAGAGCAAGAGCCCGGAGAUGGAUUCUGAGACACGAAUCCAGGCCCUACGGGGUGCAGCAGGCGCGAAACCUUUACAAUGUGCGAAAGCAUGAUAAGGGAACUCCGAGUGCCAGCAUCUAAUGUUGGCUGUCCUUGUGCCUAAAACGCACAAGAUAGCAAGGGCCGGGUAAGACCGGUGCCAGCCGCCGCGGUAACACCGGCGGCCCGAGUGGUAGCCGCUAUUAUUGGGUCUAAAGGGUCCGUAGCCGGUUCGAUAAGUCCUCUGGGAAAUCUGGUUGCUUAACAAUCAGACUGCCAAGGGAUACUGUCGAACUUGAGACCGGGAGAGGUAAGAGGUACUUCAGGGGUAGGAGUGAAAUCUUGUAAUCCCUGGGGGACCAUCUGUGGCGAAGGCGUCUUACCAGAACGGGUCUGACGGUGAGGGACGAAAGCUGGGGGCGCAAACCGGAUUAGAUACCCGGGUAGUCCCAGCCGUAAACGAUGCUCGCUAUGUGUCAGGUACGGUGUGACCGUAUCUGGUGCCGUAGGGAAGCCGUGAAGCGAGCCACCUGGGAAGUACGGUCGCAAGACUGAAACUUAAAGGAAUUGGCGGGGGAGCACUACAACGGGUGGAGCCUGCGGUUUAAUUGGAUUCAACGCCGGGA